rnacentral:rRNA from 2 species
ACGGGGCGCAGCAGGCGCGAAACCUUUGCAAUGUGCGAAAGCACGACAAGGUUAAUCCGAGUGUCUCCUGCUAAAGGAGUCUUUUGUCAGUUGUAGAAUCACUGAUGAAUAAGGGGUGGGCAAGUUCUGGUGUCAGCCGCCGCGGUAAAACCAGCACCUCGAGUGGUCAGGAGGUUUAUUGGGCCUAAAGCAUCCGUAGCCGGUUGCAUAAGUUUUCGGUUAAAUCUAUGCGCUCAACGUAUAGGCCGCCGAAAAUACUGUGCAGCUAGGGAGUGGGAGAGGUACACGGUACUCAAUAGGAAGGGGUAAAAUCCUUUGAUCUAUUGAUGACCACCUGUGGCGAAGGCGGUGUACCAGAACACGUUCGACGGUGAGGGAUGAAAGCUGGGGGAGCAAACCGGAUUAGAUACCCGGGUAGUCCCAGCUGUAAACGAUGCAGACUCGGUGAUGCAUUGGCUUGUGGCCAAUGCAGUGCCGCAGGGAAGCCGUUAAGUCUGCCGCCUGGGAAGUACGUACGCAAGUAUGAAACUUAAAGGAAUUGGCGGGGGAGCAC